rnacentral:rRNA from 1 species
AUGCGUCCGUCUCAGGACCGCCGCCCCUUCCGCCCGCCGGACCGAGUCUCGCCGCCUCCCCACCUGCACCGCCAGCAGCGGCCCCGCCAGCCGCCCCCGCACGCGCGGCAGUUCGCGGUGAUCCUCCUCCGCGCGGGCCCCAGCUCCUCCUCCCCGCCGGCCACGGAGGUCGACGCCCUCGUCGCGGGCCUCCAGUCGCCGCCCCCCGACAGCCUAUCCGCCUGCUCCUCCGGCCGCCAGGCCGCCCAACUCCUCUUCCGCUCCCUCCCCACCGCCGCGGCCGCCGCGCGCGAGCUCUGGUCGCUCCGCCUCGACGGCCUCCACCUCCUCACCCCGCACCUCCCCGACGCCGCCCUCGCCUCCCACGCCUACCCCCUCGUCGCCUCCCUCUUCGCCUCCCACGCGUCCCGCCUCCUCGACUCCGGCCUCGUCUCCCGCUCCGCCGCCCGCUCCGCUGAGCUCGCGGUCUCCAUCCAGUCUGUGAAACGCCGCCUGCGCGGUCACAAUAACUUCCGCGACUUCGAUCAGUUCAAUCUCCAGAAGAGAACACUGGAGGCUGAGAAGGAAUUGAUAGAUGCCAAAAUUGCCGAGUACAAAGCAGCCAUGAGUUCGAUAAGGCGUGCCAUGUUACAUGGGACGGAUGACGAGGAGGAAGUGGAUGAGGAAGAAGGGGUGGAUGUGUUUGGGAUUGGGGAAGGAGAGGAUGUGGACUUUGUGAGGUUGCACAUGAUGAUGCUGCGUGAGUGCAGGAGGCUCAACGAGGGGCUACCAAUCUACGCAUACCGCAGAAAGAUUCUCAAUCACAUUUUCAAUAAUCAGGUUAUGAUCUUAAUUGGGGAAACUGGUUCUGGGAAAAGCACACAACUAGUUCAGUUUCUUGCUGACUCGGGUCUUUCUGGUAAUGAUUCAAUUGUCUGUACGCAACCUCGGAAAAUUGCUGCUUUAUCAUUGGCACACAGAGUAGAUGAAGAAAGCAAGGGCUGCUAUGCAGACAAUUUUGUGUCGUCAUGUUCAAGCUUUUGGAAUGAUCAAAAUUUCAGUUCGAAGAUUAUAUUUUGCACAGAUAGUUGUCUUUUAUAUCACUGUAUGAAUGAUGCGGACCUGAAUGGCAUUUCCUAUAUCAUUGUUGAUGAAGCUCAUGAAAGAAGCUUGAACACCGAUCUUCUCUUAGCUUUGAUCAAAAAGAAGCUGCUUGAUAGGUUGGAUUUGCGACUCAUUAUAAUGUCUGCCACUGCUGAUGCUAAUAGACUUGCUGAAUACUUUUAUGGCUGCCAAACAUUCCAUGUGAAAGGGAGAAAUUUUCCUGUUGAAAUUAAAUAUGUACCUGAUGUAUCAGUUGAUGCUUCUUUCAAUAUUGUGCCAAACUCUUUGCGUGGUCCUUGUGCUGCUGCUUCUUAUGUCAAUGAUGUUAUAAGGCAGGUAAGCAUCAUCCACAAGAAUGAAGAAGAGGGUGCCAUCCUUGCUUUCUUGACAUCCCAGCUAGAAGUUGAAUGGGCCUGUGAAAAUUUCACCGAUGCAAGUGCGGUGGUACUUCCUAUGCAUGGAAAGCUUUCCCCUGUGGAACAGAGUCGUGUUUUCAAAAGCUAUUCUGGAAUGAGAAAAAUUAUCUUCUGCACCAAUAUAGCUGAAACAUCACUUACUAUAAAAGAAGUGAAGUAUGUUGUUGAUUCUGGACUGGUCAAGGACAGCAGAUUUGUGCCUAGCAGUGGUCUUAAUGUUCUGAAAGUCAAUUGGAUUUCCCAAAGUUCAGCUAAUCAACGCGCUGGCCAGGCAGGUCGAACGGGAGUGGGGAAGUGUUAUAGGCUUUACUCCGAAGCCGACUUCAGUAUGAUGGAACUGCAUCAAGAACCUGAAAUCCAAAAAGUUCAUCUUGGCACUGCUGUUCUAAGAAUACUUGCUUUGGGUGUUAAAGAUGCACAGAAUUUUGAGUUUGUUGAUGCCCCAAAUCCAGAAGUGAUCAAUAUGGCUGUGAAGAACCUUGAACAGUUGGGUGCUGUCAAAUGUAAUUGUAAUUGCUAUGAGCUGACUGAUACUGGACGCCACUUGGUCAAAUUGGGAAUUGAGCCAAGGCUUGGAAAAAUUAUGCUUGAUUGCUUUGGUUUUGGUUUGAGGAAGGAAGGUGUAGUUUUAGCUGCUGUUAUGGCAAAUUCUAGCAGCAUCUUUUGUAGAGUGGGCACUGAUGAGGAGAAACACAAAGCUGACCUUCAGAAAGUCCGUUUGUGUCACCAAGAUGGAGAUCUGUUCACUCUACUCGCUGUUUAUAAGAAAUGGGAGGAUGGGCAUGAGAACAGGAAUAUGUGGUGUUGGCAGAACAGCAUCAAUGCCAAAACCAUGAGGAGGUGCCAGGAAACUAUAUCAGAACUUGAAAAUUGUCUAAAGCAUGAGUUGAAAAUUAUAAUCCCAAGUUAUUGGUGUUGGAAUCCUGAGGCUCCCAGCGAGCAUGAUAAGUUGCUAAAAAGAAUUAUCUUGUCAUCUCUUGCAGGUAAUCUUGCUAUGUUUUUAGGACAUGAAAGGUUUGGUUACCAGGUGAUUUCAACAGAUCAGAUUGUGAACCUUCAUCCCUCAUGCUCAUUGCUCAAUUAUGGUACCAAGCCAGAUUGGGUGGUCUUUUCAGAAAUCUUAUCCGUCCCAAAUCAAUAUCUGGUAUGCGUAACUGCUGUUGAUCAUGAUGCUUUGUAUGCAAUUCACCCAAUGUCUUCCGUUCAGCAACUGGAGAAACAUAAAUUACAGAUAAAGGUGAUUAGUGGGCUUGGUAAUAACUUGCUGGCAAAAUUUGUUGGCAAAUCUGGCCAAAAUCAGCAGAAGAUCAUCUCACAUCUCAAGGAAGAUUGCAAGGAUGACCGAGUAACUGUUGAAGUUAACUUUAACAAUAACGAAGUCGUGUUAUUUGCUACCGCACAGCACAUGGAAAAGGUCUUUUGCAUUGUUAACAAUGCUAUGGAAUGUGAAGGUAAGUUGAUGAGGAACGAGUGCCUUGAGAGAAGUUUAUUUCCCGAGAGGUCAGGCAGCUCUCCUAUUGCACUAUUUGGCUCAGGUGCUGAGGUCAAACAUUUAGAACUUGGGAAGAGAUAUCUGACAGUAGAGGUUCUACAUCAAAAUGCAAGUGACAUCAAUGACAAGGAGCUUAUUAGCUUGGUGGAUAGUCUUGUCUCCGGUAUUGCUAAUUUUCAUAAAUCCAGUGGAAAUUUCAGGCUAGGCUCAGAUGAAACUAAAUGGGGGAAGAUUACAUUCCUCAAACCUGAAAAUGCUGAAGAUGCUGUGUCAAAAUUGAACGGGGUAGAAUUUCAUGGUUCCUCUCUAAAAAUAGUUCCUGUAUGUUCUCCUGAUAAUCAAGGUUUACGAUUUCCUUCAGUAAGAGCUAAAUUAUGUUGGCCACGUAAGGAAAGCAGGGGCCUUGCACUUGUAACAUGUGCCAGUGGGGAAGCUCAAUCUGUUGUAGAUGACUGCUUUGCCUUAGGAAUCGAUGGAAGUUGUAGGGUUAGUAUGAAGGAGGAGAACUGUGUAUUUGUCGAAAGAAUUCCAUUGCAUGUCUCGGAGCGGGAACUAUAUGAUGCUUUUCGCAGCGCAACAACAAGGAGAAUCCUUAAUAUCCGCCUGCUCAGGGUCAAGGAAGCCACUAUAGCUAGCCCCUCUGUUUCUGUAUGCGAAGAAGUGCUGAUUAGAGAAAUUUCUCCAUUCAUGCCAAACAAGAGUUUUCCUGGAAAAAGUUUCCGUGUUGAAGUGUUCCCUCCCGAGGAAAAUGACUCGAUGAUGAGAGCAACUUUAACUUUUGAUGGAAAUCUUCAUCGAGAAGCUGCAAGAGCACUGGACCAUCUUGAAGGAAGUAUUCUUCCUUGUUGUCAACCUUGGCAGAUAAUACAGUGCAAGCAUGUAUUUCAUAGCACUAUGUCCUGUUCAGUGCGUGUUUACAAUGUUAUCAGCCAGGAAGUUACUUCUCUGCUUGAGAGCUUCCGAAGCCAAAAAGGUGUGUCUUACAAUUAUGAGAAGACCGAGAAUGGUAUUUUCCGAGUAAAGCUCACUGCAAAUGCCACAAAAACAAUAGCAGAUCUGAGAAGGCCGCUUGAGAUUUUGAUGAAAGGGAAAACCAUAGACCACCCUGAUCUGACAUUAAGUGCAGUUCAGAUGCUCUUAUCCCGUGAUGGUGUAGCACAUUUGAAAUCAAUUGAACAAGAAACUGAAAUGAAGGUCGGGCUUUUACAAGCCCGGCCCAAAACCCGGCCCGGCCCGAUGUUUGCCCAGGUUUGUGUCCAGCAUCACAUGGCUGAAGCUGAAGCUAAAUUGGUCCAUGCACUUCCACAGCUCCUUGAGAAGCGGCCUCUUGAAAUUUGUCUUCGUGGGCAUAACCUCCCUCCAGACUUGAUGAAGAAAACAGUAGAAAAUUUUGGAGUUGAUCUGGAAGGAUUCAAGACUGUGAUGCCCUCGGUAAAGGUUGAGUUACAUAAACACCGCCAUAUACUUAAAGUUUGGGGCAGUAGAGAGGAUAAGCGAAGGGUGGAGGGGAUGAUCUCUGAGCUGAUAACCUCAGUUAAACACAAUGUCCCGGUUCACCUUCCGUCAGAGAAUGUUGGAGGCAGUAAAGAUGAUAAUCAAAGGGUGGCUGACAAUGAGCUUUCAAUGGAUGCAUGCGCUAUUUGCUUGUGUGAGACGGAAGAUCCUUUUAAGCUUGAAUCGUGUGGGCACAUAUUUUGUCGGGCUUGCUUGGUGGAUCAGUGUGAAGUUGCCACAAAAUCGUAUGAUGGGUUCCCUGUUUGUUGCCUCAAAACUGGGUGCAAGAAGCCAUUCCUCAUUGUUGAUCUGAAGCACCUCGUGUCAAAUGAGAAGCUGGAGGACCUAUUCAGUGCUUCCUUAAGGGCAUUUGUUGCAUCUAGGGCAGGAAUAUACCGUUUCUGCCCAACACCGGAUUGCCGAUCCAUCUACCAGGUGGCAGCUCCAGAUGCAGAGACCAAACCUUUUGUCUGUGGGGCUUGCUAUGUGGAGAUCUGCACCAAGUGCCAUCUCGAGUAUCAUCCUUUCAUAUCCUGUGAGGCUUACAAAGAAUACAAGGAAGACCCAGACGCAACACUUCUUGAAUGGCGCAAAGGGAAGGAGAAUGUGAAGAACUGCCCUUCCUGUGGAUACACGAUCGAAAAAGCUGAAGGCUGCAACCAUGUUGAGUGCAGAUGCGGCUGCCACAUUUGUUGGGCAUGCUUGGCGAACUUCAAGAGCAGCGAAGAGUGUUAUGGCCAUCUCAGAUCUGCGCACCAAUCCUUUGUGGACAUUGUGUAG